AUAACAGUUGGAAACGGCUGCUAAUACCGCAUAAGCCCACGGCAUCGCAUGAUGCAGUGUGAAAAACUCCGGUGGUAUAAGAUGGACCCGCGUUGGAUUAGCUAGUUGGUGAGGUAACGGCCCACCAAGGCGACGAUCCAUAGCCGACCUGAGAGGGUGACCGGCCACAUUGGGAUUGAGACACGGCCCAAACUCCUACGGGAGGCAGCAGUGGGGAAUAUUGCACAAUGGGCGAAAACCUGAUGCAGCGACGCCGCGUGAGCGAAGAAGUAUUUCGGUAUGUAAAGCUCUAUCAGCAGGGAAGAUAAUGACGGUACCUGACUAAGAAGCACCGGCUAAAUACGUGCCAGCAGCCGCGGUAAUACGUAUGGUGCAAGCGUUAUCCGGAUUUACUGGGUGUAAAGGGAGCGCAGGCGGUGCGGCAAGUCUGAUGUGAAAGCCCGGGGCUCAACCCCGGUACUGCAUUGGAAACUGUCGUACUAGAGUGUCGGAGGGGUAAGCGGAAUUCCUAGUGUAGCGGUGAAAUGCGUAGAUAUUAGGAGGAACACCAGUGGCGAAGGCGGCUUACUGGACGAUAACUGACGCUGAGGCUCGAAGGCGUGGGGAGCAAACAGGAUUAGAUACCCUGGUAGUCCACGCCGUAAAC
rnacentral:rRNA from 1 species